rnacentral:rRNA from 1 species
ACGGGAGGCAGCAGCUAAGAAUAUUCCGCAAUGGGGGAAACCCUGACGGAGCGACGCCGCGUGGAUGAUGAAGGCCGGAAGGUUGUAAAAUCCUUUUAUUACCGAGGAAUAAGCGGGGGAGUGGAAAGCCCUUGUGAUGACUGUAGGUCAUGAAUAAGCACCGGCUAAUUACGUGCCAGCAGCCGCGGUAACACGUAAGGUGCGAGCGUUGUUCGGAAUCAUUGGGCGUAAAGGGCAUGUAGGCGGUCUGUCAAGCCAGGCGUGAAAGCCAGGGGCUCAACCCCUGAACUGCGCUUGGAACUGGCGGACUGGAGUCGCUGAGGGGGAACCGGAAUUCCUGGUGUAGGGGUGAAAUCUGUAGAUAUCAGGAAGAACACCGAUGGCGAAGGCAGGUUUCCAGCAGACGACUGACGCUGAGGUGCGAAGGUGCGGGGAGCAAACAGGAUGAGAUACCCUGGUA